rnacentral:sRNA from 1 species
GCCGGGUGCGGUGGCACACGCCUGUAAUUCCAGCACCUUGGAGGCUGAGGCAGGAGGAUCACGAGUUCAAAGACAGCCUCGGCAAAUUAGCGAGGCCCUAAACAACUCAGGGAAACCCUGUCUCUA